GACGAACGCUGGCGGCGUGCUUAACACAUGCAAGUCGAACGGAAAGGCCCUGCUUUUGUGGGGUGCUCGAGUGGCGAACGGGUGAGUAACACGUGAGUAACCUGCCCUUGACUUUGGGAUAACUUCAGGAAACUGGGGCUAAUACCGGAUAGGAGCUCCUGCUGCAUGGUGGGGGUUGGAGAGUUUCGGCGGUUGGGGAUGGACUCGCGGCUUAUCAGCUUGUUGGUGGGGUAGUGGCUUACCAAGGCUUUGACGGGUAGCCGGCCUGAGAGGGUGACCGGCCACAUUGGGACUGAGAUACGGCCCAGACUCCUACGGGAGGCAGCAGUGGGGAAUAUUGCACAAUGGGCGGAAGCCUGAUGCAGCAACGCCGCGUGCGGGAUGACGGCCUUCGGGUUGUAAACCGCUUUCGCCUGUGACGAAGCGUGAGUGACGGUAAUGGGUAAAGAAGCACCGGCUAACUACGUGCCAGCAGCCGCGGUGAUACGUAGGGUGCGAGCGUUGUCCGGAUUUAUUGGGCGUAAAGGGCUCGUAGGUGGUUGAUCGCGUCGGAAGUGUAAUCUUGGGGCUUAACCCUGAGCGUGCUUUCGAUACGGGUUGACUUGAGGAAGGUAGGGGAGAAUGGAAUUCCUGGUGGAGCGGUGGAAUGCGCAGAUAUCAGGAGGAACACCAGUGGCGAAGGCGGUUCUCUGGGCCUUUCCUGACGCUGAGGAGCGAAAGCGUGGGGAGCGAACAGGCUUAGAUACCCUGGUAGUCCACGCUGUAAACGGUGGGUACUAGGUGUGGGGUCCAUUCCACGGGUUCCGUGCCGUAGCUAACGCUUUAAGUACCCCGCCUGGGGAGUACGGCCGCAAGGCUAAAACUCAAAGGAAUUGACGGGGCCCCGCACAAGCGGCGGAGCAUGCGGAUUAAUUCGAUGCAACGCGUAGAACCUUACCUGGGUUUGACAUGGAUCGGGAGCGCUCAGAGAUGGGUGUGCCUCUUUUGGGGUCGGUUCACAGGUGGUGCAUGGCUGUCGUCAGCUCGUGUCGUGAGAUGUUGGGUUAAGUCCCGCAACGAGCGCAACCCUUGUUCACUGUUGCCAGCACGUUAUGGUGGGGACUCAGUGGAGACCGCCGGGGUCAACUCGGAGGAAGGUGGGGAUGACGUCAAGUCAUCAUGCCCCUUAUGCCCAGGGCUUCACGCAUGCUACAAUGGCUGGUACAGAGAGUGGCGAGCCUGUGAGGGUGAGCGAAUCUCGGAAAGCCGGUCUCAGUUCGGAUUGGGGUCUGCAACUCGACCUCAUGAAGUCGGAGUCGCUAGUAAUCGCAGAUCAGCAACGCUGCGGUGAAUACGUUCCCGGGGCU
rnacentral:rRNA from 1 species